GUGCAUUUGAAGCAAAGGGAGGUAUGUGUGACACUGUCACACCUCUGUGAAGUCACCUGUGGACAACUCCCAGUGACAUCACUGAGCAUGGCUCACAGAGAGUGGACUUGUGGCCCACUGACUUGUAGGUGGAGACGGCCCCUCACGGCUUAAUUGCACACAGCACACGGGCACUUGUACGUAGGCAAUGAUAACAAACACGCUCUGAUCUGCACUCUGGCCAAGGGCAGCGGCACAUGCGUGCACUGUGGUUCCACGGUGGCAGGCAGAGCAGCGUGUUGGGUGGUGGAGGACCUGGUGCCCAGCCCCAGCUCUGCACAUAGGGGUUGUGUGACUUUAGCCGAGUUGUCUCCCUAUCUGAACCCUACUUUUCCCAUCUAUAAAAUGGGAAGUCAGGACAACUGAUCAGAUGAGCUGUAAGGGUCCUUACGACGCUGACUUUCUCCAGAUGUAAAGAAAGGCCCUCAGCUCCUUCUCCCAUGAGGCGAACAAACAGCCGCGAUGUUAUCCUUGACCUGGUGUUUUCACACCCAACCACAGAGUAAAUAUGAACAAAUUGCUCAACCUUGAAAUGCAUCGUCAGUGAUCCACAUACAGAGGCUUCUCAUCUUUGGUUCCCCCUGCCGAGGCUUCUCACCUCCAGUUCCACCUGCCGAGGCCUCUCACCUCCAUUUCUUCCACUGAGGCCUCUCACCUCCAAUUCCACCCACUGAGGCUUCUCAUCUUUGGUUCCACCUGCCGAGGCUU